GCUGAUUUUUUCUAUACGCUCAAUUUUCUUCAAAAAACCUAGUGAUUGCCGAAAGAUCUAAUAGCCACAUCUUCUUUAUUACAUCUCAUUGGAUCUCAGGACGCUCGGCAAACGCUAGGGGCGCGCAUGUUUCUUGAAACCGAAACUAGAGCUCGCCUUGCGGGGGUUGGUGACGCACCCCAAAUAAGAAGAGGCUGUCACUGGUCGCGCACAGUCGUCCUUGCCGGUGGGGGCGCCAGGCGAACACCUGAGCGUGAGCGCCAACACAGUGAAGGACGGAAUAUCAGCGUUGUUUAAUGUGUCGUCGCCAGGCCUAGGUGCCGAAUGGUCCUGGUAAUUCAGUAGCAGCGUCGUAAAUGCCUCGGCGCGGCCCUAGCAGAUCGGCGGAGCGGCCAAAAUCCACAGCAAGGCGGCCUGCAGCAGAAAAGAUACCUGAAGAUAGUGCCACGAAUUGUCAACAGAUUCGGCCCCAGCACAGCGGAGAGAAGAGACCUCAUGCUGAGGCAGCAGGGAAACUUACAAUGCAGCAACGAUCGCCCCCUCCAAGCGCUCCUCGCUUGGACAAAGGAAAGGAACCUCUGUUUGUAUUUCCCCCAAAACGCUAUGCCUUAAGCGCUGCUGUGAGUGGAGCGCCUGACCCGCGCUGCCUUCCAAUGCCACCUGCAUCCUGGCUUAUGGGCGCUGAGUUGGCGCGACGAAGAAAUAGGUGUGUGUCAUGGCCACCUCUUCGACGACAGUGAUGUUUGUGGACGCCGGAGUUUUUAGGUUUCGUGAGAGCGAAAUAAAGAUUUGUUUUUAUGCGAA